rnacentral:lncRNA from 1 species
AGGACAAAGCUCAAUGUUAUGCUAUGCAUGGACACAUAUGAACAAAACAACGUAAUCGACUUAUCAACAUGCAUCCAAUAAUUUGGAGCUAAACUUCAUCAUAUACUUAUGCACUUAGUUAAACAACGGAAGCAGCAUAAACAGAUCACAUAAACAAAAUGAUAUCAUUAUAUCAAUAGCACAUAAAUUACAUCAUUAUCAAGUUUUCAUAUCUUGCAUGAAUGUACAAUACAUUAGUUCAUGUCCAUUUAAUAUCAACAUAACUUAAACAACUCUACAGGCUGCAUUAAACGUCUCCACUAGGUCUCAACACCAAUUAGGGGUUCACUCAUGAUCAACACAUGCGACACAGAUCGCACAAACACUCAAGCAACUACAUUCUGGUUGUACUCGCGAGGCGAGAGUACUUACUCGCCAUGGCGAGUAACACUAAUCUCCCAAACUGAUGUUGUUCUGGGUUCAAUCCUGUCCUAAAAUCAUUCCUAAUCAUAUCUAGGUAUGUCUAGGUACUUAAAGGCACUCAAGGUCCAACUAAAAAGUCAAAAAUACAAAAUAUGACAUGCACUCUGCCUGAGCUCGCGAGGCGAGAAAGGGUUGCUCGCCAUGGCGAGUUGGACCAAACAACUCGCGAGGCGAAGGAAAGGGGCUCGCGUGGCGAGCGAUGAAGUCCAUCACUCGCGAGGCGAGGUUCAUCACUCGCUGUGGCGAGCGAUGAACAGAAGCACGGGCAGACUAGGGUUUUUCUCAAAAAUCCAUCACACAACAUGGUUCAAAGCCUAAUUUUGAUUCCAGAAUUCAUCCUAAACAUAUUCUAAGGUUAAAGGACGGUUUCUACAUCAAUCUAAACAAGUUUUACCGUUUGAUCAUCAAUUUUUUAGGGUUUUAACCUAAUUCCAAAACUUUUCUAAAUCAAUCCUAACUUUGUCAACUAUUCAUCAGAAUUACAGAGGUUAAUGCUACUGAGUUAUUAGUCCCACCCUUACCUGGUUAUGAAGAAAAUCGCAGCCCUCUUGGUCUCUUGCUCCUCUCUAAGCUUUUUCUCCCUUUUCCAAAAGUUUUCACGUACAAUAAGUUUCUAAAAUAUUAGGUCUUCUCCUAUUUAUAUCUUUUUCUAAUUACUUAUUUUAUCUCACUUUCUCCCCCAAAACUAUCUAAAAUAUCAAAACAACUCUCAACUAAAUAUUUUAUAUUAUUUUCAAAUCUUUAUUUUAUUUAACAAUAAAAUAUAUUCUCUAAUCUUAUCAAAUUCUCCAAAACUCAUAACUUAACACGUCAUCAAUCAAAUCAUCAAAAUCACCACAAAUCAUCAAAAUAUAUCAAAAUCAUGUAUAUAUUAUAUAAUUAUAAUAUAAUUGCCUAAUCUCGAUUAAAUAACGAUUAAACGAAAGUGGGCGUUACAACUCUCCCCCACUUAAAAGAUUUUCGUCCUCGAAAAUUUACCUCAAGCAAACAACUCUGGAUAAGACUCCAGCAUCUUACUCUCAAGUUCCCACGUCAAGCUUUCACCAGUCGCUCCCGACCAAACGACUCUCACGAGAGGUAUCUCCUUGCCUCUCAACGUCUUCACUUUACGAUCGUCAAUCCUCAACGGUAAAGUUUCUACCGUAAGGUUGUCUCUAACUUGUACAUCGUCGCUUUGGAUUACAUGAGAUGGAUCCGGAACAUACUUUCGAAGUUGCGACACAUGGAAAACGUUGUGCAAAUUCGAAAGAUGCGGUGGUAAACCCACUCGGUAAGCCACCGUUCCAACUCUUUCCAAUAUCUGAUACGGACCAAUGAACUUCGGGGUCAACUUCUUUGACUUCAAAGCACGUCCUACACCAGUCAUAGGAGUGACUCUCAAAAACACGUGGUCUCCUUCUUGAAAUUCAAGAUCUUUUCUACGCUUAUCAUGAUAACUCUUUUGUCGACUCUGCGACGCCUUCAUUUUCUCUUGGAUCAUCUGAACUUUCUCAGUAGUUUGCUGAACAAUCUCUGGUCCUAAGACCACUCUUUCUCCUGAUUCAAACCAACACAACGGAGUUCUGCAUCUCCAACCAUACAAAGCCUCGAACGGUGCCAUUCCAAUACUAGAAUGAUAACUAUUAUUAUAAGUGAACUCGAUCAACGGAAGAUGACUAUCCCAAGUUCCUCCUCGUUCAAGAACACAAAUUCUCAACAAAUCCUCUAGCGACUGAAUUGUCCUCUCCGACUGACCAUCUGUCUGUGGAUGAUACGCCGAACUCAAUCUCAACUUCGAACCCAAAGCCUCUUGCAAACUUUUCCAAAAUCUAGAAGUAAAUCUUGGAUCUCUAUCUGAUACAAUGCUCGAAGGAACACCAUGCAACUUCACAAUCUCUUUGAUGUAAAUCUCUGCCAACUGGGCAACAGGGAAACUAAUAUUAAUAGGUAGGAAAUGAGCUGACUUCGUCAACCUAUCAACAAUAACCCAAAUUGCGUCGCUCCCUCUCGGAGUAUUCGGCAAACUCGUCACAAAAUCCAUCGAUAUACUAUCCCAUUUCCAUUCUGGCACGUCUAAAGGUACCAUCAUUCCAGCAGGUUUCUGAUGCUCAACUUUCGACUUCUGACAAACUAAACAGGAAUACACAAACUGUGCCACAUCUCGUUUCAAACCAGACCACCAGAAAAUCUUCUUUAAAUCAUGAUACAUCUUCGUAGCUCCCGGAUGAAUACUCAAGCUACUUCUAUGACUCUCUUCAAGAAUCAUCUUCUUAAUCUCUUCAUUGUCUGGGAUACAAAUUCUUCCUCGGAAUCUCAACACACCUUGAUCAUCAAUUUUAAAAUCACUGUCUUCAGUCUGAUCUCUAGCAACCAACAAGUCCACAAACUUUACAUCAACUUUCUGUGCUUCCUUGAUACUUUUCAGAAAUUCACUAUCAAUCUUCAGCAUACCCAGUUUCACACUCUGAGGUGACCAUUCGCAAACCAAACACAUAUCUCUAAACUGUUCUAGCAAUUCGAACUCUCUGACCAUCAUGGCGGACAUAUGCAAUGUCUUCCUACUCAAGGCAUCUGCAACAACAUUAGCUUUACCUGGAUGAUAAUUCAAACCGAAGUCAUAAUCCUUCAACAAUUCGAGCCAUCUUCGCUGUCUCAUAUUCAAUUCCUUCUGAUCGAAAAAAUACCUCAAACUCUUGUGAUCACUAAACACCUCAAACCUCGAACCAUACAAAUAAUGUCUCCAUAUCUUCAAUACAAAGACUACAGCCGCCAACUCGAGAUCAUGCGUAGGAUAAUUCUUCUCAUGAACUCUCAACUGUCUUGAAGCAUAAGCUACCACUUUACCUUCUUGCAUAAGUACACCUCCUAAACCCAACUUGGACGCAUCACAAUAAACCACAAAAGGUUCAUCUGACUUCGGCAAAAUUAACACUGGAGCAGUUGUCAAACGCUUCUUCAAUUCACUGAAACUUUUCUCACAAUGGACGUCCCACACAAAAGUUUUACCUUUACAAGUCAACUGCGUUAGCGGAAGAGCUAACUUAGAAAAUCCUUCAAUAAACCUUCUAUAGUAACCAGCUAAACCCAAGAAACUUCUAAUCUCUGUAACGGACUUUGGAGUCUCCCACUGUGAUACCGCUUCAACUUUAGACGGAUCCACUGCAAUACCGUCACCAGAAAUAACAUGGCCUAGAAAACUCACUUCUUUCAACCAGAAUUCACACUUAGACAAUUUAGCAUAAAGCUUCUUCUCUUUCAACACUUGCAAAACAAUCUUCAGAUGCUCAAAAUGUUCUUCUUCAGUCUUGGAGUAAAUCAAAAUAUCGUCGAUGAACACAACUACGAACCGAUCCAAAAAUGCAUGGAAGAUGCGAUUCAUAUACUCCAUAAACACUCCAGGUGCAUUGGUAACUCCAAAAGGCAUAACUUUAUAUUCAUAGUGACCAUAACGCGUUCUGAAAGCCGUCUUCUGCAUAUCUUCAUCCUUUACUUUAAUCUGGUGAUAACCUGAUCUCAAAUCAAUCUUGCUGAAAACUCGUGCACCCACUAGCUGAUCCAUCAAAUCAUCAAUUCUCGGAAGUGGAUACCUAUUCUUGAUAGUUACCUUGUUCAACUGUCGAUAAUCAAUACACAACCGCAUACUACCAUCUUUCUUCUUUACUAUCAAAACCGGCGCUCCCCAAGGUGAAACACUUGGUCUAACAAACUUCUUCUCAAGCAAGUCUUCCAACUGUUUCUUCAACUCAGAUAACUCAGAAGCAGACAUACGAUAAGGUGCCAUCGAGACCGGCUUCGUUCCAGGAACAAGAUCAAUAGAAAACUCAACUUCUCUCUCUGGAGGCACAUCAGGAAUCUCAUCUGGAAAAACUUCAGGAAAUUCACACACCACCGGUAACCUACCAAUCACUGCUUGAUUCUCAAUAGAUAAAGUAGCCAUUAACGAAAACAUCAAGAUACCGUCGCGUUCCAGUUGCUUCAGCUGCUUAGUAGAUAAAAACUCUGCACCACUUUCCUCUUCGACGGAAGAGAAAUGCACUGACUUGCUAAAACAAUUAAUAAGAACGUGGUUGUACUCUAACCAGUUCAUACCCAAAAUCACAUCCAUACCGCUCAAAGGUAGACAAACUAAAUCCAUUUCGAAAUGACGACCAAACAUAGACAAAGGACAUUUCAAACAUACGAGAGAAGUAGUCACCGAACCCUUAGCUGGAGUUUCGACAACCAUCUCUCCAUUCAUAUCAGACAAAUCAAGACCCAAAGCAGAAACACAAUCGAAAGCAAUAAAACAAUGCGUAGCACCAGUAUCAAUAAUAGCAACUAAAGGAGUAUUAUUAAUAUAGCAAGUACCUCUGAUCAAACGAUCCUCAUUCUCUGUCUGAGUCCCAGUCAAAGCAAAGACCCUACCAGUAGUCGGCGCCCUCUUAGGCUGAGUACACUGGGAACUAAUGUGACCCUCUCCGUUGCAAUUAAAGCAAACAAUGUCUGUACGAUUGCAAUCAGCUACAACAUGACCUUUCUUGCCACACCGGACACACUUCUUGAUUUCCUCAGGGCAGACGUUGCUUUUGUGGCCUUUCUCACCACAAUUGAAACACACAAUCUCUGCAACAUCCUUCUUCUUAGGCCGCCUAACAUCGACCAUCUUCUGUUUCCCUUUAUCAGCAGGGGCACUGUACGGCUUAGGACGACUCUGCUGUCCCUUACCCUUCCUCUCAUUCACUACCUUGUAGUGAGCCUUCGUAUCCUCUUCAUAGAUCCUGCAGCUAUUAACUAAGUCCUGAAAAACUCUAAGCUGUUGGUACCCAAUCGCCCUCUUGAUGUCGGGCCUCAAACCGUUCUCGAACUUGAUGCAUCUCGAGAACUCAGCAUUCUCUGCAGUAUAGUGCGGAUAGAACUUAGACAGCUCCACGAACUUGGCAGCAUACUCUGUCACGGACAUGUUUCCUUGCUUCAGCUCAAGGAAUUCGAUCUCUUUCUUCCCGCGAACAUCCUCCGGAAAGUAUCUUCUCAGGAACUCUCUCCUGAAAACAGCCCAAGUCACAACAGCUCCCUCCUGCCCAAGGGUAGGCAGAAGAGCAACCCAUCAGUCAUCAGCUUCCUCGGCUAGCUGAUGAGUACCAAACCGCACCUUCUGAUCUUAAGUGCACUGCAUAACUCGGAAAAUCCUCUCAAUCUCCUUAAGCCACGUCUGGGCUCCAUCAGGGUCAUAACGUCCUUUGAAAGUCGGAGGGUUCUUCUUCAUGAACGUCUCCAACAUCCUAGCUUCAGCAUUUGCACCAGCAUUCACGUUAGGUUGUUGUCCCACAGCUUGGGCAACAACUUGUAGAGCAGCAGCUAACGUAGCAUCAUUCCUUCCAGCCAUUCUGAUAUUCUACAAAAGUAGCAACAACAACAACAUAAGAUAGUAAUAUAAAUAUUACUAAGACUUGACACGACUCUCUAACUGACCGGACGGAUCGACCUGCUCUGAUACCAAUUGUAACACCCCGUUUUCCCAACAUACAAAAUUUCUUUAAAAAAAACAUAGCAUUUAUCAGAGUAGCAUCAUAAACAACGGGAUAUCACAUAUAACAUAAUCCAAGACGGUUAAAUAAUGAUUUAACAUAAUAUCCUUAACAUUGCAGCGGAAUUUAGUUCGUAAUCCAUAAAUCGGUUUUGGCACGCAGGCCUCAGCGUAAUUCUUAAAAGAAAUCAGUUCAUAAUCAUAAAUAGCAUAAAAGUCACGUAAUAGAAUGAAACAUGCGUAAUUCAUAAAGCCCCAUCCCGUUACGUAUCAGAGCGACCUAGAAGACACAGUGAAGGCAAGGCCACUCACGACGGAAACAGCACUCUAAGCUCGGUCACCUGCACGUUACCCACGGUCGAGGUAACAUUCAAACAGAAGGGGUGAGAUUUCAUAACAGAUUAACAUUAAACAAUGCAAUUAAGAAUCAUAAGUUAACAACAUGGUCAUUUCAUUAGUUAACUUUGCAUAAUUGUUAAACUUUUAACACGUAAUCGUAUAUCCAUUAAUUAGGGAUAACAUAACAUAAUCAAUAAGCACAUAUCACGUAAUCACAUAUUCAAUCAUUAUCAACAAGGCAUCUUAAUCAUGACAAUGUGACAAUGUUCCUAGACUCCGUAUAUGCAUGUGGUACCAAUCGUCAUCAUAAGUAUUAAUAUACUUUAACCGUGCGGAGGACAAAGCUCCUAUAAAACGUGCGGAGGACAAAGCUCCUAAUUUUCGUGGUGAGGACAAAGCUCAAUGUUAUGCUAUGCAUGGACACAUAUGAACAAAACAACGUAAUCGACUUAUCAACAUGCAUCCAAUAAUUUGGAGCUAAACUUCAUCAUAUACUUAUGCACUUAGUUAAACAACGGAAGCAGCAUAAACAGAUCACAUAAACAAAAUGAUAUCAUUAUAUCAAUAGCACAUAAAUUACAUCAUUAUCAAGUUUUCAUAUCUUGCAUGAAUGUACAAUACAUUAGUUCAUGUCCAUUUAAUAUCAACAUAACUUAAACAACUCUACAGGCUGCAUUAAACGUCUCCACUAGGUCUCAACACCAAUUAGGGGUUCACUCUUGAUCAACACAUGCGACACAGAUCGCACAAACACUCAAGCAACUACAUUCUGGUUGUACUCGCGAGGCGAGAGUACUUACUCGCCAUGGCGAGUAACACUAAUCUCCCAAACUGAUGUUGUUCUGGGUUCAAUCCUGUCCUAAAAUCAUUCCUAAUCAUCUCUAGGUAUGUCUAGGCACUUAAAGGCACUCAAGGUCCAACUAAAAAGUCAAAAAUACAAAAUAUGACAUGCACUCUGCCUGAGCUCGCGAGGCGAGAAAGGGUUGCUCGCCAUGGCGAGUUGGACCAAACAACUCGCGAGGCGAAGGAAAGGGGCUCGCGUGGCGAGCGAUGAAGUCCAUCACUCGCGAGGCGAGGUUCAUCACUCGCUGUGGCGAGCGAUGAACAGAAGCACGG